UACGUAGGGUGCGAGCGUUGUCCGGAAUUAUUGGGCGUAAAGGGCUCGUAGGCGGUCUGUUGCGUCAGGAGUGAAAACUCGGGGCUUAACCCCGAGCCUGCUUCUGAUGCGGGCAGACUAGAGGUAUGCAGGGGAGAACGGAAUUCCUGGUGUAGCGGUGAAAUGCGCAGAUAUCAGGAGGAACACCGGUGGCGAAGGCGGAUCUCUGGGCCAUUACUGACGCUGAGGAGCGAAAGCGUGGGGAGCGAACAGG
rnacentral:rRNA from 1 species